rnacentral:rRNA from 1 species
UACGGAGGGUGCGAGCGUUGUCCGGAAUCAUUGGGCGUAAAGGGCGCGUAGGUGGCUCGCCAAGCGGGCGGUGAAAGCCUGGGGCUCAACCCCGGGUCGGCCGUGCGAACUGGCGAGCUGGAGCACUGUAGAGGCAGGCGGAAUUCCGGGUGUAGCGGUGGAAUGCGUGGAGAUCCGGAAGAACACCGGUGGCGAAGGCGGCCUGCUGGGCAGUGGCUGACACUGAGGCGCGACAGCGUGGGGAGCAAACAGG